rnacentral:rRNA from 1 species
AUUGAACGCUGGCGGCAGGCCUAACACAUGCAAGUCGAGCGAGCGGCGGACGGGUGAGUAAUGUAUGGGGACUGCCCGAUAGAGGGGGAUAACUACUGGAAACGGUGGCUAAUACCGCAUACUAUCGGAUAACCCAUAUGGGAUUAGCUAGUAGGUGGGGUAAAGGCUCACCUAGGCGACGAUCCCUAGCUGGUCUGAGAGGAUGAUCGGCCACACUGGGAGUGAGACACGGCCCAUACUCCAAGGGAGGCAGGAGUGGGGAAUAUUGCACAAUGGGCGCAAGCCUGAUGCAGCAAUGCGGCGUGUAGGAAGAAGGCCUUGGGGUUGUAAAGUACUUUGAGCGGGGAGGCGGUACCCGCAGAAGAAGCACCGGCUAACUCCGUGCCAGCAGCCGCGGUAAUUC